UUGCCUUCCACUACCAAUCUUCCAAGGACUUGUGAGCCUAAAUGAUGUGACUCUUCUGCUGACAAUGGGAUUCAACCAGUGACCUUCCAGUCUCAUGCACGGAGGCCUGACCAGCUGAGUCACAGGCCAACCCCAAAACCAACAGAACACAAGCGCAGAUCUGUAGCUGGGAAUUGACAUAACUAGUGCACACAUACACUUUCCCUGUAUAAGGGCAAGCAUGCAGCAAUUUGUCAUAACGCAGGUACAUACUUAUGUGCAUUUGCACUGUCAUGACAAGAAUUUACUGUGCAUUUUAACCUUCAAGUGACAAAUGGAUAUAAUAAAAUACAUGAUCAUAUCUUGUCAUAACAGUGCAAAUGCACAUAAAAUAAGUAUGCAUUGACAUUACAAGAAAUUGCCAUGUAUAUCACUUUCUCUGGCAAAAGCCUACUUGCAUAUCAGUUAGGUCAAUCCCUCUCUAUAACCUGUAGAUUUCCCCCCUCCCCCAGUGUCCCAGUCUAUGCACCCUUGUCUUUAGACCCAAUUUCAGCUGCAGAUUUUACUUCUGUGAUUGACAUACUGGUGCAAGUUGAAACAAGCUGGGGCAGUUACUGGCAUCUAGCACAUUUUAAGGGUGUAGUCAUCAGUUUCCUGACAAUAGAUCUGCUGCUGCUGUAGGCUGAAACCCUUCCUCUGACUUUCUCGAUCUUUUUUUACCUCCAUGAAAGUCGCAAACCGGGCUGCAUUCACCUCUCUCUACAUUCUUUGAGAUCUACAGCCAUAUCUGUCCGGUGAUACAUUUGUUUAGUCUUGUUUUCUUGCAGAAGUAAGCAUCCCAACAUGCUGUAGGAAGCGCGUCGUUCUCUGAAUGUAAUUGUUGUCUAGCUCGGACUCGCCGGCGUAUCGUGGUGCACAGCUAACCUGAAGCACUCCCGUCGAGGGGAGUAGUGAUCAUUCCUGAUUUGAAACAAGGGUUCAACCCAAAACCACUCAGGCCUGAACCUCAAGACGCUACAUCCGAAAGCCGCUGAAAAGGUAGCAUGGCCAACAACACAGGAGUCUUGAUCCCAUGCGAUAACAAACAGUGCAAUGGACACGGCCAUUGCUUUCUGCUGAAUAAUGUCAUCAGCUGUGAGUGUCGGCUGGGCUAUGAUGGAAACUUCUGCCAGAACCGUGUCAGCAAGCCCAUCGGCGUAGCCCUCACCCUGGGCUUUCUCGGCUGCAUUAUUGGCAUCGUUGUCUUUGCCUUCCUCUUUGCCUUCAUGAAGAAAAGGAUGAAAGCACAAAAAAGAAAAGCAGUGACUACUCAGAAAGAGGUCAUGAUGAGUGAAAGUAUAGGUCCUCUCUAGCAGAAAAGUCUGGAGCAGUCUGAGAUUUCUGGAGGAGACUGGACCCAUCCACCAACAAGGGACGUCCUCCUACUUUCGACGUUAUACCCUUCUGUAUAACCAUGAACAUCAGUACAACAUGCUAAAAUUGUCUGACAUUAUCCGGAGUCGCAUGUUUCUCGUGCUUUGGGCAGGUUUUUUUUGGGACCUCGGUUAUCGUAGACUUCCAUGUUCUUCCCUGUUCGGCAUCCGCUUUUUUUUUUCCACCUGUCACUGAGCUAAGUUGACGUGUCACCAACAAGACCAGCCGGUUCUGCAGCAGUGCUGAAAUUCCACUUCCUUGAACACCCUAGGAGCCGCCCUUUGAAGGCAGACAAGCGUCUGUCUCCGCGGGGGCUGGUUUUGGUUCUUACUUCACUCAGGUUUCGGUUGGUGUAGCUCCAGUCCUGCAAUAAGGCGGCUGUUGUGUAAAGAAUUACCCACGGUGACCUGACUUUGGUUGACAUCUUAUAAUCCUGCAGUGUUACUCUUUCAAUGUUCAUUAAUGCAGCAAUUUUUUUUUUAAUAAUUUGAGGUAACUGGUACACAUUUCAAAUUUUAUUGCAAUAUUUUGAGGUUUUCACAGUUAUAAAUGGAUGUUUGUCUUCCCAUUGUAUUUAAAUUAAUUGAUAGGUGUCAGCUUUCAUCACAUAACUUUACAGGACACAAAGAAGGCUGGAAAUACAACUCUUAGUGUGUGUUGCUGACAAGCUCAUCCGCUGCACCUCAGAUUAUUAUUAUGGUCUGCUUCAUGCAGGGUAAUGGUGUAGUUCAUGGGAUUUUUCUUCUCCUCAGUUACGACGAUGUAUGUGUGUGGGAGGGUAGGAAUAAACAUGUUUUGCUAA